AUUGAACGCUGGCGGCAUGCCUUACACAUGCAAGUCGAACGGUAACGGGCCUUCGGGUGCCGACGAGUGGCGAACGGGUGAGUAAUGCAUCGGAACGUACCAUUGAGUGGGGGAUAACUAUCCGAAAGGAUAGCUAAUACCGCAUAUUCUGUGAGCAGGAGAGCAGGGGAUCGCAAGACCUUGCGCUCUUUGAGCGGCCGAUGUCAGAUUAGCUAGUUGGUGGGGUAACGGCCCACCAAGGCGACGAUCUGUAGCGGGUCUGAGAGGAUGAUCCGCCACACUGGGACUGAGACACGGCCCAGACUCCUACGGGAGGCAGCAGUGGGGAAUUUUGGACAAUGGGGGCAACCCUGAUCCAGCCAUGCCGCGUGAGUGAAGAAGGCCUUCGGGUUGUAAAGCUCUUUCGGCCGGGAAGAAAUCGCAGGGGCUAAUAUCCCCUGUGGAUGACGGUACCGGACUAAGAAGCACCGGCUAACUACGUGCCAGCCGCCGCCGUAA
rnacentral:rRNA from 1 species